rnacentral:rRNA from 1 species
UACGUAGGGAGCAAGCGUUGUCCGGAAUCAUUGGGCGUAAAGAGCAUGUAGGUGGAUCAAUUAGUCUGCUGUGAAAGUCAAAGGCUCAACCUUUGAAAGCCGGUGGAUACUGUUGAUCUAGAGUACGGAAGAGGCGAGUGGAAUUCCUGGUGUAGCGGUGGAAUGCGCAGAUAUCAGGAGGAACACCAGUGGCGAAGGCGGCUCACUGGACCGGUAUUGACGCUGAGGUGCGAAAGCGUGGGGAGCAAACAGG